GCCGUUGGAAGAGAAACCGAAAGUACGCCAUUUUCGUAGAAUCGUAAAUAUAUAUUUCAGAAAACAUGAAACAUAUUGUCUUCAAAUGACAACUGCAGUUGUUCAUAGACCAAGUGAUGAAAUAAUUGAUGUAAAAACAAUGCCGAUGGACGUAAACAGUUAUGGUUGUACAAGGCAAACAUUUGUUUGAAUAUUCCUUACUGAGUUCCUGUUUUCAUCACCAGUCAAUGUAUUAAAGUAAACAGAAUGGGCCAAACUACAACAAAAGAAGAGGCAGCAAGACCAGUAGAUCCAACAAAAAGAAUUGGUAC